rnacentral:lncRNA from 1 species
AUAUCUUCAUGAAUUACUUUGUAAGUCUAAUGACUUAGUUCAUAUAAAGUAUGUUGACAUUUCUGUGAUAUAUGGCACUUAGGUGUUAAUCAUUGUUCUUAUUUUCACUGUUAGAACAGGAGCUAAGGAAACAGCCAGUAAUCUAACAACUAGAGGCUUUUUAAAAAUAUUUAUUAUUUAAAUUGUAUAUACAUAGAUAUGGUACACACACGUAAGUACUGGAGCCAUGUUGGAUCUCUCUCCUUGACUCCAAAAUAAAAUUACAGGUGAACGUGAACUGGCGAUGUUGAAAACUAAACUGUUCUUUGGAAGACCAGCAUGUGAUCUGAACCACUGAGCCAUCUCUCUAGUUUCCAGCCACUAAAGGCUGUUAUUAGAAAGCUUUGACAUAUAGUUUUGAUCCAUUUAUUGACAAUGUACAUGUUACAAAUAUAGUAAACAAAGUUAAAAUAUAUUUGGGUAUAUUUCGGGGCUAUCAUUUAGUGUUAAAUAUUGCCAAAUUUGUUGCUAAAAGAGAUGAUGAGAUUUUUAUCAAACCAGUGUUGGGGGUGGGGAUUUGCCGCAUUAAAAAAAUAUUUUAGUCAUUUGCUUGUAAUACCAUUCAUCUCACUAAUUCACAUCUUUAUCUCUUGUAUGUGUAGUGCUAGGGUUGAACUCUGGGCCUUGUGUGCCCUAUACAAGGUCUCUACCACUAAACUGUAGCCCCAGCCCUUUUUCAUUGAGGUAGGAUCCUGCUAAGUUCCAUACAUUGGCGUUGAACUUGCUAUAUGUCUCAGGUGGGUCUUAGGCUUGUAAUCUUCCUGCCUUAGCCUACCAGCUAGCUGGAAUUAUAAACUCACUCCUAUACUUUUCUAAAGGGAGAUUUGUAUAGUUUAAUUGCCAAGUUUCAUUAGUUAGAUUCCUGUACUGAGCUCCUUAUGCCUUUUCAUUUCCCUGCCUCUCACCCAAUAAUUUAUUGUAAUAUUCAGACCGUUGUAUAGAGGUUGGUUGAUUGUAAUCUGCUAAGCUAUAGACUCUGAAGUAUGCCCUGCCAGACUCUGGUUUUAGCUUUUCAUUUUAUUCAUGUUAAAAGUGGUGGACUUUAUUAUAGCUAGGUCAUCAUAUAUUGAAGUCCAUCUACUUCUAUAAUUUUUGUAUCUUUCUCCAUUUAGGUAUUUCCUAAGAUAUACCAUCGUAAGGGGGGUGGGACCCUAAAUUUUUUAGCUUGAUUUUGAGAUGUUGGCUUUUUAAAGAAUUAUUUUCCAGUCUUCCUUAUCUGUUGCAAGUAAUUUUUUCUCUUUAUCAGUUAAUAUUUUCAGGUUUUAAAAUACUUUUUUUCAUUUUGGACCAAUAUGCUGAUGUAUAGUUUUUAGAAUUUUGUUUUUAAUCCAUCUUAAAUUGUGAACAAAUUGUUUAAUUCUUAACAUUUAAGUGAAAUCCUCUGACCAAGUUACAAAACAGACACAUUAAAUUAAGAAUAAAAGAUAGUGUUUAGUAUGCAUAUUAGAUACAGAUGAACUAUGUAAAAAAUACUUCACUGUCUUUAUGAAUUGUCCAGCAUACAUGUCUUCCAUAAUUUACUACAUCAAUUCAAUAAGAAUGAGAUUUCUUUUUAAAGUUUUUUGUCUGUUUCAUACAGAUAAACCCACCUUACACUCUUUCUUUCUUUUUUUCCCAUUAGUUUAUUUAUUCACUUUACAUCCUGAUCAUUGCCCCUACCUUCCUUCUGGUCAAGCCUCCCUCUUCCCCCCACAGUCCCUCCUCCCAUACCUCCCUCCUAAGCCUAGUCCUGCAGAGCCUUGAUGUGCCAGGGUGGUGGGGGAUACCCAGUUGAGAUUUCUUAAAUAGCAGUUUCUCUCUGUAGUGAUGACAUACAAAUUGUUUUACAUUUUAUUUACAAAGUCACAUAUAUAAUUCUCUUUAAGACUUGUGUAGAUCUUUAAGUUUUAAAUUGCAUAAUUUUUAGAAUUUCAAUCCUUUAUGAUUAUAUAGUAAUAUGUAUGUGUACUCAAGAUGGAAAACUGAAAAGGAACAAAUUUAAACAUACUAUGGGAAUAAUUAGAUACCUUUGUUUUAGGACUGACUCAAAGCUUUCUGAAUUCAUUUUAUUUUUAAAACCAUGUCAUUAAAAUUUUUCUUAAAAUGAAAAUUAUAGUUGAGAUCUUUAGAAUUGUACACUCUUUGAGUACAAAUAAAAACUAUAUAACUCAUGGUGAGACAUGAGUCCUUAGCCACACUCAGUGUUCUUCUGCUUUAUGGGCUUCUGGAGUCAGAUACACCCAUCCGUACUGCAGCUUUUUUGAAACAUGGAACUUGUUCUGAAUUGUGAGGAGGGGGAUGCAUACAAGCUGUGUGUUAAAAUGGUAGAGCCACUUAGAGAAUGACACCAGGAACCAAAAAAUGGAAUUAAGCCUGGAUCUCUGAGUCACCACAUAGAAUAAAUAUUUCAAGAUCUCUAAACCAUUUUCCACUACUGUGUUAUAGUUUUCUUCCUGUGAUUGUUUCAUGUUGUUUCCC